rnacentral:rRNA from 1 species
UACGUAGGGGGCAAGCGUUGUCCGGAUUUAUUGGGCGUAAAGAGCGUGUAGGCGGCCAGGCAGGUCCGCUGUGAAAACUCGAGGCUCAACCUCGAGAGGUCGGUGGAAACCGUUUGGCUAGAGUCCGGAAGAGGAGAAUGGAAUUCCCGGUGUAGCGGUGAAAUGCGCAGAUAUCGGGAAGAACACCCGUGGCGAAGGCGGUUCUCUGGGACGGUACUGACGCUGAGACGCGAAAGCGUGGGGAGCGAACAGG